rnacentral:rRNA from 1 species
CCGGUUGAUCCCUGCCGGACCCUGAGUGCUAUCAGAUUGAUAUUAAGCCAUGUUAGUCAUCGUAGUAAUACAAGGCAGACGGCUCAGUAACGCGUAGUCAACCUAACUUAUGGACGGGGAUAACCUCGGGAAACUGAGAAUAAUACCCGAUAGGUCAUGAUGCCUGGAAUGGUUUGUGACUCAAAUGAAUGUCGCCGUAGGAUGGGACUGCGAGCUAUCAGCUUGUUGGUGAGGUAAUGGCCCACCAAGGCUAUAACAGCUACGGGCUCUGAGAGGAGUAGCCCGGAGAUGGGUACUGAGACAAGGACCCAGGCCCUAUGGGGCGCAGCAGGCGAGAAAACUUUGCAAUGCGCGAAAGCUCGACAAGGUUAAUCUGAGUGGUUCCUGCUAAAGGAACCUUUUGUUAGUCGUAGAACCACUAAUGAAUAAGGGGUGGGCAAGUCCUG